rnacentral:rRNA from 1 species
UGGCUCAGGAUGAACGCUAGCGACAGGCUUAACACAUGCAAGUCGAGGGCAGCAUAAAAGUAGCAAUACGUUGGUGGCGACCGGCGCACGGGUGAGUAACGCGUAUGCAACCUACCUAUCGAGAGGGGAAUAACCCGGCGAAAGUCGGACUAAUACCGCAUAAACAGGGGCACCGCAUGGUGAUAUUUGUUAAAGAAAUUCGCUGAUAGAUGGGCAUGCGUUCCAUUAGGUAGUUGGUGAGGUAACGGCUCACCAAGCCGACGAUGGAUAGGGAACUGAGAGGUUGGUCCCCCACACUGGUACUGAGACACGGACCAGACUCCUACGGGAGGCAGCAGUGAGGAAUAUUGGUCAAUGGGCGGGAGCCUGAACCAGCCAAGUCGCGUGAAGGAAGAAGGAUCUAUGGUUCGUAAACUUCUUUUGCAGGGGAAUAAAGUGCAGGACGUGUCCUGUUUUGUAUGUACCCUGAGAAUAAGGAUCGGCUAACUCCGUGCCAGCCGCAGC